UAAUUGUUGCAAUUGGCUAGAUGCUGUAACAGUAAGUUGAUGUGUUAUUCUGUUCCUGACAAUAGACUGUCUGAAGUUUAAACAAAAAAAAAUACAUCGUUGU